rnacentral:rRNA from 1 species
UACGGGGGGAGCAAGCGUUGUUCGGAUUUACUGGGCGUAAAGGGCGCGUAGGCGGCCACCGCAAGUCAAUUGUGAAAUCUCCGGGCUUAACUCGGAAAGGUCAACUGAUACUGCGGGGCUAGAGUGCGGAAGGGGCAACUGGAAUUCUCGGUGUAGCGGUGGAAUGCGUAGAUAUCGAGAGGAACACCUGCGGCGAAGGCGGGUUGCUGGGCCGACACUGACGCUGAUGCGCGAAAGCCAGGGGAGCGAACGGG